CACAGGACAAGCUGCAACCAUGACGGAUGAAGACGAUGACAGAAUCCUGGACGUUCCUCGUGCACAAAGGACGCAAGAAAUGUGAGGUCUGCCUUCCAGUACCUUCGAUUCAACUGUACCGUGCAUUCUAGUCCAACAGCCGCAACGAUUCAGAAGAUACUCACUGAAGCAUCUAUAGUUCGUGACAACGCAUGGUGAGACUGUUUUGUUUGUCUGCUCUUAACGCCUGGCAAGAAUGGCGACAUGCUUGUCGAAGGCGACCAAAAGUUUACUACGAACAUGCUCACAAGAUAUUUCGUGGCAGCUUCCUGUAGAAGCCUCAAAGACAAUCCCAAGCUCUUCUUCAUCCAGGCAAUGCUGUAUCACUCUUGUCGUUGAAAACCACUUCAACAGCGCACUGUUAUCGUUAAUGGAUUAGAAGGGAUUAGAAAGGAUCAUCGCAUCAACACCAACCCCACUUUAUUUUAUUGAUUAUGAUUAGUGUGCUUCAUACGAUGUGAUAGCGGAAUGGAACAAUACUGACAACUAAUGACUAC